rnacentral:lncRNA from 1 species
GGUAAAACUGAGGUGCUGGGCGCCCCGAGAGGACCCGGGGGUAGGGAUGAGGGCACAGGGUGGGGAAGCCGGGAGCCCUGGCUGUCGGAUGGGAUCCUAAGGAAGGAGGCAUUUGGGCCUGUGGAUGGCGCACCCGUCCGCACCCCUCCCAGGGGUGCUUCUCCUCCCAGGACAGGAUGCUGCCUCGUGUAGGCAGCACAAAUCCUCGGGAUGCCAGACCCCUAAGGCAUUGUCCUGAAGGCAGAUGGCCCCAGGCCCCUGGACAAAGGCCCCGUUAUCCUCGGCGCUGCCCCACGCUGCUCUCUCUGUCUGUCCUCCCGGCUUGUUAGGGGACCUUGUGUCCUGGGACUGAUCAUGUCCACUCUCCCGGCCUCUGUAUCUGCUGAACGCAAGGAGGGGCUGGUCCAAUCCCAGCCCUGACCCUCCCCUUGCUGGUGGGAAAGAAUCAUCCUUUUGUCUCGUUCUUUCAGUGUGUUUGCAUUAAGUCUGCUUUAGCCUGGGUGGUCAGAGAAGGCCUCACUGAGCAAGUUCCAGGUGAAGUAUGACCCGCAUGUUGAGAAGGAGCCAGCCAUGUAAAGACUGCAGGGACAGCAGGUGCAAAGGCCCUGAGAAGCACCUCAGAAGCGCUGUCUCUCUCUGAGCAGCACGGAUUUGAAGACUCGAAUGCCAACCAGAGAGGGGAGGGCUGAAGACACAGACACCAGCAGCCAGCCUACAGGGUUCCGCAUCCCAGCUCGGCCAUUGACUCCCCCUGGACCUUGAGGAAACAGGGAGGUGCCGGACAGCCAAGCCCGAGUGAGAACCCCCACCCAGGAUGAGGAUCCCUGGGGCCAGGGACGCACAUCACCUGUAGGCCAGCGGGCCUGAGCUGUGCACCUCGCUGCUCUCUGCGGAAGAAGACGUCACAUGCGGCCCAGCCGCAGGCUCCAGAGUCCCGGGAGCCUCGCAUGUGGGGCCCGUGGAGCGCCUGGGGGCCAUGGGGCUUGGAGCCCAGGAGCUGUCACUGCUGCCCUGUGGAGGGUCCCUCAGUCCCUGUUGACCUUGAACGGCGACCCCUGGGUGCAAGCGGGAGACUUUUUGCCCUGGGUGUGAGUUGACCCCUCUGCUGGGUCUAUAUGGGUCCAGGAAGUGCCCGGUCAGGGGACCGAGCCCAGGCAGUCCUCAGGACUCUGUUGGGGGCAGGGUGCUCUCUGAGAAGCAGAAUCAGGCUUGGGGCACCCGUGUCAUCUAUUUUGGGUCUUCGGCUCACUGCUUGUGAAGGGGGUCUUUUAACACCAAACCCAGUGCCAGCCUUGGACACGUGGGGGUGGCCUGGAUGGCUCGGCUGGGCAGGGCUGGGCUAACGUCCACCCUGGCCGCUGGCUAGAAGAGGCCACGAGAGGGGGGCCAGGGCGCCAUCCAGCUCCUGGGGAGCCGCCUGCUGGAUUGCGCAGGGGGCUGGGAACCCACUGGGUUGUGUGCCCAGGAUGGCAGCACGCAGGGUUGUGUUCUGGUGGCUCAGACCUGCCUUAUCCCCCACUUACAGAGGGGUAAACUGAGGUUCCAACUGUGUGUGGUGGCGGCAGGGCUGGGACUUGACCCCACACCUCCGGCUGGAAGCCGCGCCCCCAGAUCUUCUCUUUUAUUCCCUGGGCCCCGACGAGGCCCUGGGUCUCCACACAUCGUGACCAGCCGGCAGGAGGGCCUGGGGUUUGUGGAACAAUGUGGAGUGAGUUAAACAGACACAAGUCCCCGUUGUCGUGGAGAUUAUCGUUUCAGAAGGUGGAGCUGGGGAGGGGUGGUGGGGGCUGAGGACUGUCUGACGGCAGCUCCCGUGACUUGGUCCCACCGAGCCUUGGGCUGGGCGCCCGGUAAAUACACUCCUAUGUUAUCCACACGACCACUGCAUGAGGUGGUCAUUAUUGUCCUCAGCUCUGCGGGGUAAACCGAGGCAAAGACAGUUGAACAAUAUGCAAGAGGGCAUGAGAGGUGAAUGUAGUUUGCACGUGGGAUGGAUGUGAAUUUGGGGGGCAAGGGGGAGACUAUAAUGGGUUGGAUAGUAGCCCCCGCAAUAUGUCUCCCGGAACCUCAGAAUGUGACCCUACUUGGAAUAAAGGUCUUUGCAGAUGUAGUUAAAGUAAGGACCCCGAGAUGAGAUCCUCCUGGAUCAGGGCGGACCCCAAAUAUAAUGACGAGCGCCCAUGUAAGAGACUGAAGAGGAGAAGACGCACAGAGACAUUCUGACGUCUCCAGAAGGCCACGUGAGGGUGGAGGCAGAGAUGGAAGUGAUGCAGCCAUGAGCCAAGGACACCUGGGGCCGCUGGAAGCUGGAAGAGACAAAGAAGCGUCCUCCCCUAGAGCCUUCGGGGCAGCGUGACCCUGUUGACACGUUGAUUUUGGACUUCUGGUCUCUAGAGCUGGGGAGAAGAAACUUCUGUUUUUUUAAGCCCCCAAGUUCGGGCGGGACCACGAUCCGGCCCUGGGGGCGUCUGCCACAGGCCUUGUUUCUCACGCCCCUGCCUGCCCAGGCAGGCCCUGGCCUAGAGUCCUGCAUCCUUUCCUUGGUGGUGGAAAAGGAAGGGCCGUGCAUCUUUGCCGAGCACCUGCCAAGGGCCAGAGGCUGUCACAGGCCUUCUCAUCCACAUUCGUGCCAGCCUGUGAGAUGCCCACUCUUAUCCAUCCUACAGAUGAAGGCAGUCCGCAGACGAGGCCCUGGCUGGGCCCUGAGAGGGUGGGGCACUCAGAGAAGAGGGGCUCUGAGCCCCAGAGCUGUCGUUUGCUUCCACCAAAAUGCCCCUGAACGGGCAGGGUGUGAUGAGAGAAUCGCUCAGUGGACGCACAGCACGAUGCCAUAAAAACCCCACAGCUGCCCUCUAAACACGCGUGCCCAGAGAAAGAUGAGAAAACUGAGUCUCAGAUGCGAAUAAACGGGUUCCCACAGCUGCGAAGCGUCGGAGUUGGGACUGCCAACACCCAUUGCCCAUGUCCGUGCUCUUAAAAGUCAUUGAGCGCCUACUCUGUGCACACUGUGCCUGACUGCUGGGCCCCAGGCGCCUGCUCUGAGAACCGCCAGAGCCUGCCACGUGGACCCCCUCCCCCCGGCAGCCGUCACAUCUGCAGCUCUCGUGGUGACACUUCAUCAGUGAUGUGGGAUGGGGACGUCACUCUUUCAAGUCUGUGUGCACACGGCACGCCUUAUCUCCCCAGCUGGACCAGCACACCCGGCCAGUGGGACGUGCCUGCGGUUUCUCCCAUGUCUCCUUCUGUCCCUAGCAGGCACUCUGGCAUGCGUGUAGCAAUCCUUCUUGAAGGAAUGUGUAAAAUGUGGAGUAGAUGGUGACGCUGACCACCAGGGCCGAAUUUCAGUUAGGCCCUGGUGCCUUUAUAGGUGACCACAGUGCUUGGUGCUGAGUACUUCAUGAAACUCCUCGUUGCAUCCUCCCAAUGGGCCCUUUGGGACUGGAGGACGCCCAGAGAGGCCAAAUGACUUGCUCAGUGUCACUCCAUGGUGCCUGGACCGGGGAUUGAAGGCUGGCUGUGCUGACGUCAUCACAGGAGCUGGGGGGCCAGUGGGCUUGUCCAUUUAUCCUGAGGGUCUAGGGCAGUGCUAUCCCGUGGAAGCAUCAUGUGAAACGCAUCUGUAAUUUUAAGUUUCCUGGUAGCCACGUUAAGAAAGUAAAAAGAAACAGGUAAAGUUGAUUUUAAUAAUAUGUUUUCUUAGCCCAGUGUAUCCAAAAUAUGUGAUCAGUAGAAAAAUUAUUAAUGAGAACUUGUAC